CUUUCUCUCUCAGUAUAUUUCAUUUAUUAGUUUAUACAGUAUAUUUAAAUUACAUACAGCUGGACUAGUAUUAAUACAUGAAAUAUUGUCCAAUUCUUCAAAUAUGAAGGAAACAGUUUGUGAAUAUUUCAUUACAUCAUUAGUCUCCUCCUCCUCUCAUGAAUUACCAGCUGGUAUUAUUAGAGUAUUACUAUCUCUUUCCUUCAGUCAAUAUAAUGAGUAUAAUAAUGAUAAUGGACUCAACUCUACUGCUCAAUGUAGUGACAAUAUUCUAAUGGAAACUGUUCACUUGCUUCUGAUCUCUCCAUUCCUCUUCUGGUAGACACCAUAAACAAAACGCUUUCUUUAUCUGACUGCUGUAACUCACCAGGGCAUUAAGACUUGUAGAUCUACACUCCGUCACGCCAGCGUAAUUUCCCCAUCCUACUCACAAGGGCUAGCGUGCUUCUCUUAAAAUCAUGUCAGCCGACGAAGAAGACGUAAUUAUAACCGAGAAAGACCUCGCUGCACUCAAGAGCGACGUCCUGAAAGAGAGUAUUGAAGAUAUAAGCAGCCAGCUAGGCGACCCGGGGAGAUACUUCGCUAGCUUCAAAGCGAAGGAGAUCCUUGACAGAACAGAUUGCGAGACUAUAAAAGCACAAGUUACAAGCGUGGAUAAGGCUAAUGUCUUUAUCGAUACCAUCAGUGGACGUCGUGGUAGAAAGGGAGAA